AUCAAUUAAAUCGAUUAUAUUGGUUAUCAAUAAAGUUAAUUAGAACAUUUGAUUUGGAAAAUGGAUCGUGUCUCAAAGUCGCCUCGUCUCCCGACGAUAUUUUAGCCGAAAUUAAAUUAGACAACAGUACUUGCCGUUAAUAGGUUAUAAAGUCAAUUUAUUUGAAAUCUCACGUACAGACAAUUUCUUCGUGCAAUACAGAAAAACAGAUGUAAAGAAGAGAGAACGAGGGAUGCAAAAUAACCCUGUUAAGAAUAAGCAAAGGAUAAUAUGCUAUGCAUACCUAAUGCCCGUGAAAUGUUUUACUCAUAAUUCUAUUACAAACCCGACUGAAAUAUUAUCCUUGAAUAUUUUACACUAAAUAAAGCCUUAUUUUAU